UGGAUCACCUCCUAACAGGGAGACAACAAAAUGUUAAAUAUUAAUUUUGUCACCUUAGGUCGAUCGGUAUCUCACAUUCUUAAUCAAUUUAAGAAUUUUAUUUCCUAAGUUUUUCUAGGUCACACCCAUCAUUUUUCCUGGGCCAUUAGCUCAGGUGGUUAGAGCGCACCCCUGAUAAGGGUGAGGUCCCUGGUUCAAGUCCAGGAUGGCCCAUAUCUCUAUGUUGGGGGUAUAGCUCAGUUGGUAGAGCGCCUGCUUUGCAAGCAGGAUGUCAGCGGUUCGAGUCCGCUUACCUCCACUGAUUACCACCUCUUCCAUAAAUUUAUAGAAGGGAAAUGUUUUAGGGGUGAUCAAAUCUGGACGAAUCUAGCUUCCUAAUCAAACUAUUAAGAUGCUGGACUCAUUGAAUUAAAUUCAUUGUUUUCAGAGAACCUUGACAACUGCAUAGAUUAUUUUUUAAAGACAAUAAGCAUCUUUAAUGAUGCAGAUUUAUUAUUUGUGCGAAUGCAUUAAUAACAAUUCUAUUAAGCUGAUGCUUCAAAUUUUGAAGUUAUUGGUCAAGCUACAAAGGGCUCACGGAGGAUACCUAGGCACACAGAGGCGAUGAAGG
rnacentral:tRNA from 1 species